rnacentral:lncRNA from 1 species
UAGUUAAGGUCUUUCCUUUAUCUAUAAGGAAAGACCUUACUGUAUUUCUUCUGAUUAUUAUUCUUCUUGUUCCGCCAAACUUUGACAAAAUUUCCCUCCGUAACCGUAAACCAAGUCGCUUUCAUGUUCAAACUUUGUAUUGGUUUCAUGAAUACCUAUCCGGAACUCACCCUGUGAGUCGAAAUAUUUUGUCGGUUCGGAGUAAUCCCUCCGAAACCAAAAAACCUUGUUAUCGUUCCAACACCGUAACCGUAAUAGGUAGAAAAAAAAAAGAAGGGUGAAUUUGUUCAGGACCAGACCCCGGUUCUUCGUUACAUUUGGAUCGAAAAGAUUCAACGACUCAUUGGUAGGGUUAUGCCCCUAUCAAAAUUAACCGGUGUCGGUUGGCCACCAAAACUCAGAAACCGUAAGUCUUAGACACCUAGGAUCUUCACCAAUCAUCAUCAAUUCAUGUAUCUUUAAAAAAUACCUCAAGGUCAAAUUUGUAUGUUGACCUUGACCUUUGACCUAACACCUUGUUAUGGGAUAAUCUCAGAAACCAUUAUAAUUACAGAAGUUUUAAAUAGUGGAAAAUGUUUGGGUCAUUAUGGCGCAACUUUGUUACAUUUUGACCAAAGAGAUUUGACCUUUCUAUAAGGGGCAUAACCCCUGUUUUAGGUUUCUGAAAAGACAAAAUCAGCUUUUACUAUAUAAC